CCUACGGGUGGCAGCAGUGGGGAAUAUUGCGCAAUGGGCGAAAGCCUGACGCAGCGACGCCGCGUGAGGGAUGAAGGUCUUCGGAUCGUAAACCUCUGUCAGCAGGGAAGAACGGUCACUGUGCUAAUCAGCAGUGAAUUGACGUUACCUGCAAAGGAAGCACCGGCUAACUCCGUGCCAGCAGCCGCGGUAAUACGGAGGGUGCGAGCGUUAAUCGGAAUUACUGGGCGUAAAGCGCUCGUAGGCGGUAUGUCAAGUCAAGGGUGAAAGCCCCGCGCUCAACGUGGGAACUGCCUUUGAAACUGGGAAACUGGAGUGUGUGAGAGGAUAGUGGAAUUCCAGGUGUAGGAGUGAAAUCCGUAGAUAUCUGGAGGAACAUCAGUGGCGAAGGCGACUAUCUGGCACAUAACUGACGCUGAGGAGCGAAAGCGUGGGUAGCAAACAGGAUUAGAUACCCGAGUAGUC
rnacentral:rRNA from 1 species